GUGAACCUGCGGAAGGUAU
rnacentral:rRNA from 1 species